AACUAAACCUACACGUAGAUUGCUUCAUUUGGAUAGAAGAUGAGAAAGCAACUUAAGAGUUUGACAAAUCUUUGUGAGAGAUUCACAAAUUUGGAUUCUUUGUUCUUUUGAAAUUUUUUAUCACAUAUGAAUAAUCAAUUAACAAGUUCAUGAAUCAUGGUUAUGAGUUUUAUAUGUGGCUCUGGUUGAUGGUUAAUGUGAAAAAGGAAGAGAGACGGAUGCUAAUUUGCGAGGAUAAUAUGCCAGCCAACAAAGGAGGGCGAGAAAAAUGAAUUGAUCCAUGAGUUUAGUGACUCAUAAACUGCAUAAUUGACUCUAUAAAUAAACUCCAAUGGGGGCAUGAGUUUGGCCGGGCGUGAGGCCUCCCUGACGGACCUCUCUCUCUCUCUUCAGCAGUCGUUAACCCUUCAGAAAACAACAAUCAAGAAUUGGAAAUUUCGUUUAUUUUUGCCAUUAUUUAUUUCUAGACUGAAACACCCUCUCCUCUCUGUUAAAAAAAAAAAAAACCAAACCCCUAGAACUAUGGAGGCUGCGGCUGUAAACACUAACCGCAAAACCUCAAAACCUCAGUUCGAAUCAAGCUUCGACUCUCAGGAUAUUUCCCCAUCAGCUAGACUUCUCUUUGAAAUCAUAACAAGACCCUCAUCUCAUGAUAUUGAAUCUGCACUCUCCUCCACUGGAAUCCCACCCACUCAUGAUAUUGUGCAUGAAGUCCUCAAACUUUGCUACGAAAAUGCCACUUCUGCAAUCGCAUUCUUUCGCUGGGCUGGUCGGACCCACAAGCUGACCUCAUACGCCUGGAAUUUGAUGGUGGACUUACUAGGCAAGAACUGGAUGUAUGAGCCCAUGUGGGAUGCAGUUCGUACGAUGAAGCAAGAAGAUAUGUUGUCAAUGGCAACUUUUGUUUCUGUUUUUGGAAGCUACUGUAUGGCUGGUAAGUUUAAUGAGGCUAUAAUGAGUUUUUAUGUUAUGGAUAAAUAUGGUGUUCAGCAAGAUGUUGUUGUGGUGAAUUCGCUUUUGACCGCCAUUUGCCACGAGGAAAAUCAGACAGCAAAGGCGUUGGAAUUUUUUGACAAAAUCAAGCUGAAAAUCCCCCCCAAUGCGGAUACUUUUGCUAUUUUGUUGGAAGGAUGGGAGAAAGAAGGCGACGUGGCCAAAGCCAAGAUUACAUUUGGUGAGAUGGUGAUUAAAGUUGGAUGGAGUCCAGAGUAUAUGUCAGCAUAUGAUUCUUUUUUGACAACACUUGUUUGUGGGUCGCAAGCAGAUGAAGCUGUCAAGUUCCUUCGGGUGAUGAAGGGGAAGAAUUGCUUGCCAGGUUUGAAAUUUUUCUCGAAUGCUCUUGAUAUGCUUGUUAAGCAGAAUGAUUCUACCCAUGCCAUCCCUCUGUGGGAUAUAAUGGUUGGUAGUGGUUUGUUGCCUAAUUUGAUCAUGUAUAAUGCAAUGAUUGGCUUGUAUUGCAACAACAAUGAUGUUGACAAUGCAUUUCGAUUGCUUGAUGAGAUGGUUUUCAAUGGAGCUUUCCCAGAUUUUUUGACCUUCAACAUAAUUUUCCGAUGUUUGAUCAAGGACAAGAAAGUUCACCAAGUAGGCAAAUUCUUCUACGAGAUGAUAAAAAACGAAAGCCCUCCAACACAUUUUGAUUGCUCUGCAGCCAUUAUGACAUUGAUUGAUGGUGGUGACCCUGAAAUGGCAAUUGAGAUUUGGAACUACAUAGUUGAGAACCAUCUCUUGCCUCUUGAUGGAAGUGCAAAUGCACUUCUCAUUGGGUUUUGUAAUUUGGGAAGGAUGUCACAGGUGUGGCGGUUUGCAGAAGAUAUGCUUGAUAGAAGAAUAAAUAUAUGUGAAUCAACUAUGAAGAAGUUGAAGGACUCUUUUGAUAAAACAGGUGGACACGGAAGAGACAAGUAUGAUUGUCUCAUUAGAAGAUGGAAAGCUCCCUAGAUGUCAUGCUGUAUGUUUCCUUUUUUUAUUUAUCCUUUCUGGUACUGUUAAACAUGUGUUUCAAGUUUGUUUUUGACUGUAAAUUUCUCAAUCAUGUCUCAUGUUUGAUUCCAAUGUUUUUAGUUAGCAAUUGUUUAUGAUUUCUGCCUAAGCUAGGAUUUCUGAUCCAAAGUUAUAUAAAAUGCAUGUAUGUUUAAUGAAUUUUUGGA